rnacentral:pre_miRNA from 1 species
GUUCCUCAAGGCCGGAGCAGACGGUAUCUCGACCUUGACAUCAGUAUCCCAUUGGAACUUGCUAUCGUUGCCACUAUCUUAUGGUAGUGACAUUGAUAGCAAGUUCGAGUGGGAUACUGAUGACGAGGUCGAGUUCCCGGCUGCUCCGGCCUUGUUGAGC